UACAGAGGGCUCAAGCGUUGUUCGGAUUCAUUGGGCGUAAAGGGUGCGUAGGCGGCGCGGUAAGUCGGGUGUGAAAUCUCGGAGCUUAACUCCGAAACUGCAUUCGAUACUGCCGUGCUUGAGGACUGGAGAGGAGACUGGAAUUUACGGUGUAGCGGUGAAAUGCGUAGAUAUCGUAAGGAAGACCAGUGGCGAAGGCGGGUCUCUGGACAGUUCCUGACACUGAGACACGAAGGCCAGGGGAGCAAACGGG
rnacentral:rRNA from 1 species